ensembl:lncRNA
GAUUAAUUCAAAAUUGAAGAACCUGCUCAGUUAAAGAAGUCUUGACAGUACUAACUGAGAUAGUAGAUCAACAGAAAAUCUGACAUAUUAAGGUGCAUCAGCGUUGACUGCACUUUUCACACCUUUACACAUAUUUUGACCUAUUUAAAGUAACAUUUAUCACAUUGUUUAGUUUCUUUAAACAGAAAAAAUCACAUUGUCACAGAUCUCUCAUGUUAUUUUUUUUCCUCAAAUUUAAAGUCAAAGGAACAUCUAGACAUCGUAUUUUUUUCCUCAGCAGCAGUAAUAAAGUUAAGUAGAACCAGAAAUAACUUCUGGGGUUGUAGAAUGUCAGCCUGUGUCUAGUGCAUCGCUAUUUAAAGCUCCCAUUAAGAGUUAAACCUUGGUUUAGUAAUGAGUGCUCCAGAAAUACAUCAUUUGAAGAGAACAGUUCAGUAGUUACAGAUUUACAAGUCUAGCCAAACACUGAAAUUCAUCUGUACCUUCACCUUUGAUGUUUUACUGGAGUUGCAUUAUCAGAUUAUUGCUGUUGUGUAAAUAUAUAUUUACGUUCUGUCCUGAGUCUAGAGUCAAACUAUAUAUAGGUAGCUGCUUUGCCAACAUGUUACUUAAGGAUAUUAGCGAGUGAGUGUUUAACCCCAUUGACAGACAUAAGGCAGACAUGGUUGUCUCUCUAGUUUAAUCUUCUUACAACUCCACCUCACUAUUAGAGGGAAUGUGACACAAUAAUUUUACUCUCAAGUGUUGUUACGUGGUGUAAUAACACUUAUCGUUGUGUUCUUAAUCCUCAGUCACAGUUAGAUGUCAUGAAGUUAAACAGGUUUCAUGCGGCUACAAUGGCGCCCACUCCCAGCCACGUCAAAUCAAGAGAGGAUAAGGGGGAAACCAGGGUCCACCAGAAGCUUCGCCGUGCCUCUGCAGAUGACAACAUCCGCGCUAAGACUGCGAUCGCAGAGAAUCGCAUCACCACCAUCCCAGAGCUCACAGAGACACUUGAGAAGAGGCUCUGUCUAAAUGAUAAGAAGACCACGUCUCUGAAGAAGGACGAUACGUUGUGCCUGAUCUGUCAUGAGGACAUGCGUAAGAAUGGGAGGGGAGUGCCACAUUGUACACACCGCUUUCAUAAAGAGGCAGCUCGGAGGUUAGAGCAGUGUCGGCCCCGAAGCAGCAGUGAAGCAGCUGUUUUACAGGGGAGGAAGCUCUAUGAGGAGAGGAGGAGGUCUGCAGAUGGACAGAUUUCCACGGAGAAGGAGCAGCACACACUCCAUCGUCAACAUUCCCUGAGGAGACAUCGCUGAUAUUGUUUUCAAGAAGGGGAAAAUGCAUGAUUUGCAGUGAAAACAUCAGGAUUUCUCCUGAACUUUUACUACGAUGUGACACUGAAAAAUCAGGGCCUCAAAUCCCCUCUGGGCCAGAGUUUUAGGUCACUUUUGGAAUAAUUGCAACUUCUUCUCUUCAGUGUGCAAACACAGAGUUAAAAAUGUUUGAAAAGGGUUAGAGUUAGAAAAAAAAAAUUGAGACCGAGUUUAAAGGUUUGAACUCAAAGUUUUCUGCUUUAAAACCUCAGUAUGACAAACUGUACUGCACCAUGACUAUGUAAACAGGGGUGUUGCUAAAGUGUUGGCUUGGGGCCUGAAAUUUAUUAGGUCCACCUGGUGCCCCAGCUUAAUCUUUAUUAUAUAAAUGCAAACAUGAGUGAAAAUAACAGGGGGAUGUAAGGUGUCCAGUUACAUUUUUGCUGUAAAAACACUGUGGUACUCCUCAAUACAUUAUUGUAAAUAUAACUAUGUUAUAUAAUGUUAUAUAAUAUGAUAAUACACACUAAAAGCUCUUCUGCUCAGUUAUGGAUGUAUGACUCCCCCAUGACAUGCCUCACAGUGGUUUGAUCCACUGCUUGUUGUUUCCUGACUCUAGUGCUGCAUUCUGCAAAUUUUGGCAUUGAUUCAAUACUAACUAAAUACAGGGCCAGUAUUACCGAUACCAUUUAACCAAUGAAAGCAGCUUAUGUAUUGAAGAUGAGAUGAAGUAUCAUCAAUAUACAAAGUCUGAACACACUUUAAUGAAAUCACUGUGAUUUUUCCUUUCACCAAAACAAUUCAGCUGUGUGCCUGUUUCUAAAGCACUUUGGAUCGGUUUAUGUUGGAUCAGUUUAUGUUGUUUAAAUAAAUAAAGUAGGCAUGACGGCCAGCACAAAAAGUUUCAGGGAUUUUUCACUAUUGUUUUUCACACAUUUCACUAUUGGUUAGAAACAAAGUAUCAAUCCUAUUGCUCUAGUAUCGAUUCAACACUAGUACCAGCAUUGGUAUCCAUGGAUACAAGUCUGGUCAAAGUUAAAAUCACCAUAACUCAGUGGAUUUUCAAACAAUUUUCAAGUGGUUUCGUUUGGCAUUUUUUUCUGAUUUCAUUUGGUGUUUUCUCCUUUUCUGUGCUCUACACCACCCUUACUGGUUCUUGGGUCCCUCUGUGCCAAAACCAUAUAAAAUUUCCUGGAAACGCCUCUGUAUGUAACGGUCAUUGUAUUCAGUUAUUAGACUUACAGCACGUUAUUGGAUGAGAAGAUACCUCUAUGAUUAUACUAAUUAAAUGGUUUUAAAUAUCACUUUAGAAUAAAUAUACUUUAUAAUCAAUAGAGAAUAUUUACAGUUUAUAAAAGCAUUUCAUCAGAACUACAGUGAGUCACUUUAUAUACUGUUGAAUCUGUUGACAAUCAGAACUUGUAAACAUGUUAACAUUUUGUCAAAGUGAAUAUAAUAAAAGUCAAUAAAAAGCAAGGCACCACAUUAUUAACUGUAAAGAAAUUUAUUUAAAACCUUCUUUGACUCGUAGCCUUUGAAACAGAGAAAGCUGCUCAAAUAGGCAGCAACACUGUCCCUUCCAGCUAAGGGUUAGGGUCUGUGAACGUAGAUCCUGUUGCUCAUGCAUCAACAUGUUGGAAAUGACCUCCUGGCAUCAGUUGAAAAUAUCAAUGACUGCAUAAAUGAUACAUGAUACAGAUCAUAGCAACAAUGAUGCAAUGGUGUGUUUUAAAAUGUGUUUCAGUGCAUGGAGCAGUGGCUAUGGAGGAAAAGGAACUGUCCCACAUGCCGUGUCUACGUAUCCAUGCUAAAGCCCCUCUAUUGGCCUUCUUGUCGCACCACCGUCCCAUAAUGGUCCUGCACCUACACUUGAAAUGUCUGCAUGUAUAUGUGACCCCAAGACCUCCUCCUCUCCAUCUCCACGCCUCGUUCUUUCUGCAUGAACACCCUUUGCAAAACUGUCUUCUGUCCCUGAAGGAAGCAGGAAAUGAGAGUGAGGAUAUCUCAUGUGAGAGACACGAGCUGUCAUUGGACGGUGAUUAUUUAUAUAAGAGCUCUUGUAAAUUAAUGCACUAUCAGGGGAGGAUUAGUCUUUCUUGUUCUUAUUUUGUUUUUGUCCAAAAAUGAUUCUAAACAAUUUCUAAUGACAUGCAGUUAGGUGGAGCAAAUAUCCUCAAAACUGACAAUAUUUUUUGGUAAUGAACAAAAUAAUCUGCCUGAAUUCUGCUGAGUUUGUGGUUGAGGUUGAAUAUUUCCAAGUUCUGAAGUUGAACUUAGAUAUAAAAUCACAUCAUGAAAUAUAAACAAACAACUCAUAAAUUAGUCUUCUUACAGCAGGUAGCAUAUGAAUGUGUGCAUCAGUAGCAGUCGAAUUUCAGGGCUCAUAAGACCUCCCAUCUGAGUUCCACUGAGCACAUCUUUGGCAAGCUGUUUCCCCUCAGUUUAAAGCUUUUAAAUGUUAAAAGUUUAAUGCUAAGCUGACUAGUUUCUGACUUUGGUUUUAUAUUUAGCACAGAAAUAUGGGGAACGUAAAUAUUUUCCCAAAACCAUUCAUACACACAAAUAUUCUAUAUAUUUUUUGACAACAUUUGACUGACAUCUUAUAAUAAUCACAAGUUCCUGAUAUAGUUUUAAUUAAAAAUCUUGAAAACAGUCUUAAAAAAAGCUGAAAACUACAGAGAAUCAGCUCUAAGACAGGUGACAAAUUAAAGGAAAACCAUCAAAACCAGUGACCCACGCACUGAAGGGGUCCAGUGGCUAUGUUUUGGUGCACUGAUUUGAGUCCAGACAGCGUCACUGUAUAGCGAUACAAACUUUGUCUGACUGGUUACUUUUAUGCUACAAUGAAAGAUGCCACCUUUUACUCGACACAAGGGGUUACUGAAUGCUUUUAUUACUCAGAACAUGAUUUUAAGUUAAGCAGUGCUGUACACCAUAUGAGAGAAUGUCUUUUGGAAUGAUAAUGUUUCAGAGGCUUCAGUCGGUGCUAAGGUGCAUUAGAAUUGCUCUGUCAGCACAUGGCAGCUCAAUACCUUAUUGAGAAGCAUGAAGUUGAUUUUCCUUCUUUGUCACCUGUCAGUAUGGGUUUUUUGCAUAUUCUGCAGAAGGUGGUUGGUGUAUUUCAGUCAAUGCUGAUUACCCAGUAGAGAAAUUUCAACAGCUGCACUAGCAAUAGCUCUACUCUGCUAUUUUGAAGGAUUGAGCAUGCACAUUUAUUUAUUGCCUGCAUUCACAAUGCUUUCUCUUAAGUAAGAAAACUCCUCCCCUGCAUCAGUGUCAUAUCUUAUCGUACAUCUGCACCGUCUUCCUGCCUUACCCAAUUAGCUUUUGUUUUGCAUGUAAAGGUUUUUGCGUGUGACUUCUAUUCGAUCGUUUUCAAACAUCUCUCUUGUGCCGUGUGUUUUGCACUUCCAUGUGAGAAGUUUACAGUAUGUACACAAAGUCCAACUAAAAAGAGCUGGCCUAUGUAUAUAUUUAGCCAUGUAAAUAUGCAGUUAUAUAAAGGAUAGCUCUGUAGUUAAUGAAAAUUAGAAUGCAAUUUUAAAAUGCUGCUAUAGCAGUUCAUUUAACCAGCAAAUGCUCAUAACUACCAUUAGAUUUAUGCACAAAGACACAAAACCUUUGCACUCUGCAGAACAGUUAAAGGCUGUUGGGUUCAGUAUGCUUACACCACGGAGGUUAUGUGUUUAAUUACAUUUUCCAACCUUGUGCUUAAAAAGCUGAAGAACUUUUUAUGACUCUCAGCAGCACCAACUUCCAGCUGCUGUGUUCACUGUUUCCAUUUCACUGUUGUUGUUGUUUUUGCACUCUUGAAUAAAAACACAAUGAAAUGAGUGAAACACCUGUUCUGUAUCUCUUUGUUUAUCUCUUGAUCCCUUUUGUUGUUUCCUUAUUCUAUCCGCCUUACCCAGGUUAAUGAAACAAGUAAAAACAAGUGUUCAGGUAGUUAGGUUUUUCUCCUCUGGUUAUUUUCUGUUUUACUUUGAAGGGUUGUUUUCUGUCCAUCUUUCCCUGACCCUUUGAUUGUUGUAACCUUCUAAGUAUGCUCGCCUGUGUCUCAUCCUCCUCUGCCAGUUAUCCCAAGUGUCAGUGUUGCUCCUUUCUGAGCUGCCUGCUUGAUUCACC